rnacentral:hammerhead_ribozyme from 1 species
GUCCGGCUGGCCAGUCCCAAAUAGGACGAAACACACGUCCUAGAU